AAAUUCUUUUCAGAUCACUGGAUUCAAUCCAAGCCACCAUUUUUGUCAGGUAAGGAUCUCGAUUUUCCUUUGUCCUAUGGGAGAUUCAAUAUCGUUGUUGCUCCAUCGUUUUUCUUCGUUCUCCUGUGGUAAAAUUGGUGGAUCUAGUGAGUUAGACAUGAAAGUGGAUUUAUCACAGACGCAUAUUGAUUGUUCUGGCUUCCAUUUUUUGAAUUCAACUCAUCACGCUUGGUAAUUAUAGAAGCCAUGCACAAAUCAAUUAGAAAUUCUUUUCUAUCGAUUUUCAAAACUUCAAUAGAUAAGAAAAAAAUAUGAACAUAUAGUUUAAAUGUUGUAGCAUGUUUUAUUUUUGUAAUAGGAGCAUGAAAUGGUUGAUAGUUUAACAUAGCUGAAACGAAAAAUGUAAGAACAAUCGUAUAUUACAUAAAAUCUUAGGAUUAUAAAAAAGAACAUGUGCAAAUUCUGUUGAUGCACGAAUCACACAAGUAAGAAAUUGGGAUCUCUAGGGAAAGAAGAAAAAUCUUUCUUUUAAUAACGAGCCCGCGAUUAGGCAAAUUGGACGGAUUACAAAGGAUGAUCUCUUUAACGAGUAUAGACGGAGUAUGAACGAGCCGAUUGUAGAUGAAAGGCGAGCUUGAGGCCGGAAGACGAUCUUGAUGUCCGAGGAAGAAUAGAGUUUAUUCGUUUUAUAGCUGAACCUUGUAAAAAGCUGCCUACGUACCCUUUGAAAGGGAUCAAGCCAUACGUAGUUUAUAUCGUAAUAAACGAGCUAGGCCAUUACUGAAGGUAAGUUACUUCGGGCGGGCAAGUCGGCGAGACACUUCGGACGGACAAGUAAACGAGCUACUCGGGACGGGCGAGUGGACGAGAUACUUCGAUCGGGCGAACUGGCGAGCUGUUUGAGACGGGCAAGCUGACGAGCUGUUUGAGACGGACAAGCUGACGAGCUGUUCGAGACGGGCAAGCUGACGAGCUGUUCGAGACGGGCAAGCUGACGAGCUGUUCGAGACGGGCAAGCUGACGAGCUGUUCGAGACGGGCAAGUUGACGAGCUGUUUGAGACGGGCAAGCUGACGAGCUGUUUGAGACGGGCAAGUGGAUGAGAGCUCUUUGUCUCUGCGUGUCAAGCCGGAUCCAGAUCCUUUUGACAGGACAUGCUAUUCCGUAUUUAUAGUACUCUGCGUGUAGGGCACUCCUCUAGGGCUUUGACGAGCCUACCCUCUUGACUUAACAUUCUGCUUAGGCCUUUGAUUUGGAUUUGGGCUUUGGGCCAAGCAAGCCCAAAUCUAACCCCUAACAAAUUCUAACAUUAAUGAUGAAGUUUCGAGAAUUGAGUGACUUACUCGAGAAAGAAUAAUGACAAAUGAAACAGCAAUCGAUUUGUGACAGUUUUUUUUAAUCUUGACAAAAGGUACAAUGUUGGUGUGAGAUGGAGAAAUGAUUUUGUGUUUGCUGAGUUUAGAUCUUGGAAAUGAAAGUGUAUUUAUAGAGUUUGAAAGGAUUGAUAUGGUUUUAGGUUAGAGAAUAUAUAAAAUUUAAAAGAAUAUAGUUUUGAGAAGAUUUGGUAUAUUCGAAAUCUUUAAAUUAGGAAAAAAGAAUAUGCUAAGUUGAUGCUUAAACAAAUAAGGAUAAAAUAUUUUUGUUAUGAGCUAAUUUCCUUUAUCGAUAAGGUGAAAUAAAUAUCGAAUUAUUUGUAGGAAACAAAUGAUAAAUGGAAUUUAUUCAUCGCAG
rnacentral:sRNA from 1 species